GGCAGUGUAAGUGUGCUACAAGCUAAUUAAAGUUAUUGAAUUAUGCUGUGCAGGGGUGCGUGUUUUCCCCCCUCUUAGUCUGUUAGUACACGGUGUUCAAUUGCUUUAUUUAUUUGAGAAAGCAUCUGUAUGUAGACGCAAAACACGUCCAGUGUUCGUAGCUUUUCUGAAUCUUUUGUCUAUUCACAUAUAUUAGGUCUGUACUGUUCAGCCAUAUUUUAAUUUGUAUCAAUACUAACAAAUUAUUUGCUUCUUGGUUAUCCCUUUUUUUUACCUACCCAUAUUUAACAGUGUGUGCGCAUUUGUAACUGUGUGGUUAUGUGACUAACGGUGUGUGGCGGUAACUGUGUGUGUGGCUGUAAAUGUAUGUGGCUGUGUGUCCUUGUAACAGUGUCUAUGUUUGCCUCUGAAUAUGUGUGUUGUGUUUGACUGUGUGUGUGUGUGUAACUGCGUGUGGAACUAUGUACCACUGACUAUGUGCAGUGUGUGUGACUGUUUGCAUGGGUCUGUGUGUAACUGUAUGUUACGUAAUAUGUGUCUGACUGUGUGCACCUGACUCCGUGUUGGAAUGUGUGACCAUGUGCAUGUGACUGUGUAUGUUUGUUUGACAAUGUGUGUGUGUGUGCACAUGUGACUGUGUGCGUCUGUGUGUAUUUAUUUCACUGUGUGUGUAGGUAUAGAUAUGUGUAAGUGACUGUGUGUAUAGUUGUGUAUUACCAUGAAAAAGGGCCACAAAUCUAAUA